rnacentral:tRNA from 1 species
ACUAAAAUGACAGAUAGAUGUGCAGGAUUUAAGCUCCUGUUAGGAAAAUUAUUUCCUUUUAGUA